rnacentral:piRNA from 1 species
UUUAAGAGACACCAACGAUGCGGC